rnacentral:misc_RNA from 1 species
GAAAUGCGAUACUUGGUGUGAAUUGCAGAAUUCAGUGAAUCAUCGAAUCUUUGAACGCACAUUGCGCUCUCUGGUAUUCCGGAGAGCAUGCCUGUUUGAGUAUCAAUACCAUCUCUCAUACGAAGUUCUCUUUUGAAUUAGUAUGGAUUUGGGCCAUCCCAGAGCUUUCGGGCACCGAGUGGCUUUAAAUGUAUUGUUUGGCUCGACUUCAAGAAUGAAAGCCCAAGAAAAGCGCGACAAGAACCGCAGGGAGCUCUGGCUCUCUCAUGGUUUCUAUCCGCUCGACUUGACGUUACCUUUUGACUUCACCAGCCUUCUCAAACUCUAUACACUCUCGUCUCACGACGUUUGUGAUCUUGAUCUCAAAUCAGGCAAGACUACCCGCUGAACUUAA